rnacentral:rRNA from 1 species
AGCAGCCGCGGUAAUUCCAGCUCCAAUAGCGUAUAUUAAAGUUGUUGCAGUUAAAAAGCUCGUAGUUGAAUUUCGGGGUUAGUAAGUUGGUCAUGCCUUCGGUAUGUACUGGCUUUACUGAUUCCUCCUUCUUGACGAACCGUGAUGUCAUUAAUUUGGUGUUGCGGGAAAUCAGGACUGUUACUUUGAAAAAAUUGAGUGUUUAAAGCAGGCUAGCGCUUGAAUACAUUAGCAUGGAAUAAUGAAAUAGGACGUUAAUCCUAUUUUGUUGGUUUCUAGGAUCGACGUAAUGAUUAAUAGGGAUAGUUGGGGGCAUUAGUAUUCAAUUGUCAGAGGUGAAAUUCUUGGAUUUAUUGAAGACUAACUACUGCGAAAGCAUUUGCCAAGGAUGUUUUCAUUAAUCAAGAACGAAAGUUAGGGAUCGAAGACGAUCAGAUACCGUCGUAGUCUUAACCAUAAACUAUGCCGACUAGGGAUCGGAUGAUGUUAUUUUUAUGUACUCAUUCGGCGCCUUACGGGA